UGCCUGGCGGCCGUAGCGCGGUGGUCCCACCUGACCCCAUGCCGAACUCAGAAGUGAAACGCCGUAGCGCCGAUGGUAGUGUGGGGUCUCCCCAUGCGAGAGUAGGGAACUGCCAGGCAA
rnacentral:rRNA from 3 species